rnacentral:lncRNA from 1 species
AGAAGGUGGAAGUGAUAUUAUGCCAGGUCCAGACUUAGGCCUUAGGAGGCCUGGCAGUUUCCAUUUUCACCCUCUUGGGAUCCAGCCACUAUGAAACCAAGUUCACCUGCUUUAUUGGAGAGAGAAAUGACCUAGAAGAUGAAAGACAGCAAAGGGAGAGCAGGAUGCCCAGCCAGCCACCAGCCAUUCUGACCCCUUCAGCUGAGGCACUGCAUGGAUGGAGUCUCACUUUGCUGGCCCAGGCUGGAGUGCCGUGGCCCCAUCCUGGCUCACUGCAACCUCUGCCUCCCAGGUUCAAGUGAUUCUCCUGCCUCAGCCUCCUGAGUAGCUGGGACUACAGGCAUCGCUGGGGAGAAUGAACGCCUGAGUACUCAUGUCUUUAUGCACUGUAGUAUUAUUUCCUUACAACAGACUCCUGAACCUGGAACGGCAGUGUCAAAGGGUUCACAAAAUGUUAGACUUCUGAAGCAAAUCAGAUGGCACCUUUUUUGAAUAAUGAAGAAUCUUUACCCCUGGCAUGAGGAGCUGAGGACAACUCCCACUCCACGAUGUGAAGCCACAGAGUUUCGAGGCCCCAGGACCUCCAGCGUCAAUGUUGUGGGAUGAUGGGUGACAGAGCCAAAGCAUCGCCAUCUUGGACAAGCACGGUCAUUCUGAAGUUCCCCUUGAUCAAAAACUGCCUAAACCCAAAGGAUAUCAGCCUGAUGGCUAAGAUGCCUCCUGAUUGACCUAGUACACUGGGUUAAAAGGGAAUUAAAAACAUU